GACGAACGCUGGCGGCGUGCUUAACACAUGCAAGUCGAACGGAAAGGCCCUGCUUGCAGGGUGCUCGAGUGGCGAACGGGUGAGUAACACGUGGGUGAUCUGCCCCUUACUUUGGGAUAAGCCUGGGAAACUGGGUCUAAUACUGGAUAGGACCAUGCUGUAGGUGGUGUGGUGGAAAGAUUAGUUUCGGUAAGGGAUGAGCUCGCGGCCUAUCAGCUUGUUGGUGGGGUAAUGGCCUACCAAGGCGUCGACGGGUAGCCGGCCUGAGAGGGUGGACGGCCACUUGGGGACUGGGACACGGCCCAGACUCUCAGGGGGGGCGGCAGGGGGGAAUAUGGCACAAGGGGCGAAAGCUUGAGGCAGGGACGCCGGGGGGGGGAGGACGGCUUUGGGGUUGAAAACUCCUUUCCCCCAGGACGAAGCCCUUGGGGUGAGGGGAGGGGUAGAAGAAGCACCGGCUAACUACGU
rnacentral:rRNA from 1 species